AACGCACCUUGCGCCCUUUGGUAUUCCGAAGGGCAUGCCUGUUUGAGUGUCAUUAAAUUCUCAACUUCAGAAUUUAUUUUUUGAAGCUUGGAUGUUGGAGGUCUUUGCAGGCAUAUAAUAAUGUCAGCUCCUCUUAAAUGCAUUAGCUAUCACAAGGAUCGGCUUUGGUUUGAUAAUAUCUAUGCCAUCGCUGGUACAAUCGAUGUAGCUUCUAAUUGUCUUCGGACUGUCUCGCAAGAGGCAUUUAUUUAAACUUGACCUCAAAUCAGGUAGGACUACCCGCUGAACUUAA
rnacentral:misc_RNA from 1 species